CAUGCUUUGCUCAGGAGGAAGAGGAUGAGAUGGGGAUUAGUGUGUGUGUGUGUGUGUGUGUGUGUGUGUGUGUGUGUGUGUGUGUGUGUGAGAGAGAGAGAGAGAGAGAGAAUAUAAAUCUUCCCAAUCCUCUUUCCGUCCAGGGACAGUGGGAGACGCAGCCCUGUGUGUUUUUUGGACUCUUAACUAUCAGGACAAAGGAACAUCAGCAGGAAGCGGAACACGGAACAGACAGUAAAGGUGACUGUCCUCUCUGUGUCCCCAUCAGGUGACUGUCCUCUCUGUGUCCCCAUCAGGUGACUGUCCUCUCUGUGUCCCCAUCAGGUGACUGUCCUCUCUGUGUCCCCAUCAGGUGACUGUCCUCUCUGUGUCCCC